rnacentral:tRNA from 1 species
GCCCCUGUAGCUCAGUUGGCAGAGCGCGUCCUUGGUAAGGACGAGGUCGCUGGUUCAAUUCCAGUCGGGGGCCCACCA